rnacentral:rRNA from 1 species
GCUGGCGACCAUAGCAAGAGUGAACCACCUGAUCCCUUCCCGAACUCAGAAGUGAAACCUCUUAGCGCUGAUGGUAGUGUGGGGUUUCCCAUGUGAGAGUAAGUCAUCGCCAGCUC